AGCAGCCGCGGUAAUUCCAGCUCCAAUAGCGUAUAUUAAAGUUGCUGCAGUUAAAAAGCUCGUAGUUGAAUUUCGGGACUAAUAUGUCGGUCGUGCCUCGGUACGUACUGGCUUAUUGGUUUCUCCUUUCUGAAGAACCAUGAUGUCAUUUAUUUGGUGUCGUGGGGAAUCAGGACUGUUACUUUGAAAAAUUAGAGUGUUUAAAGCAGGCUCACGCUUGAAUACAUUAGCAUGGAAUAAUGAAAUAGGACGUUUGAUUCUAUUUUGUUGGUUUCUAGGAUCGACGUAAUGAUUAAUAGGGAUAGUUGGGGGCAUUAGUAUUCAAUUGUCAGAGGUGAAAUUCUUGGAUUUAUUGAAGACUAACUACUGCGAAAGCAUUUGCCAAGGAUGUUUUCAUUAAUCAAGAACGAAAGUUAGGGGAUCGAAGAC
rnacentral:rRNA from 1 species